AAACAGCCCCCUAUGUUUUGAUUCUUUGGCAGUUUUGGACCCCCAAGGCAAAAAAAAAAAAAAAAAUGGACUGGGGUCAACAAUGGACUGGGGGUCCAAAACUGCCAAAGAAUCAAAACAUAGGGGGCUGUUU
rfam:Medicago truncatula strain A17 chromosome 8, whole genome shotgun sequence.